UACAGAGGUCUCAAGCGUUGUUCGGAUUCAUUGGGCGUAAAGGGUGCGUAGGUGGCGCGCUAAGUCAGGUGUGAAAUCUCGGAGCUUAACUCCGAAACUGCAUUCGAUACUGCCGUGCUUGAGGACUGGAGAGGAGACUGGAAUUUACGGUGUAGCGGUGAAAUGCGUAGAUAUCGUAAGGAAGACCAGUGGCGAAGGCGGGUCUCUGGACAGUUCCUGACGCUGAGGAGCGAAAGCGUGGGGAGCGAACAGG
rnacentral:rRNA from 1 species